CAGAUCUCAGUUACAUAAGUAUGUCUUGUAUUUCACUUAAUUUUUGAAAGCAGCAGUAGUGAAAUACUGUUGUUCCCAUGGCGUGAGUAAAUGACAGCAAAUUUCAAGUAAAUAUGCCUUGAAGGAAGGGUGAAUCUCCAGUGUCUUGCUGUGGAAAUGUUGGAUAAUGAGCUGAAAUGUGAGUGAGAGGCAGCAAGGACACAGAGGAUGCUUCUCCUGGAGAGACCCAGUGUUUCAUGGCCAAGUGUGGGCUCUGAGCCAGGGGAAGAUCGGUAGCACUGAAGUGAUGACACUGGAGCCACAUGUCCCUCUCUGCACUGGAUAUAUGUGAAGAAGCUGUGUGAUGCCCUGGUUUUAUAUUGCAUGCAAUAAUGGAGCAAAAGAGACUUUUGUCAUGAAUAGCAGGUACCAGCUGAUGUUCCUGCAGACACUUAGCUCCUGUUUCCAACUUCCUAAAAUUGGCACCACUGAGGAACAUAUGCAGAAUAUUCUUCUUGCUCUGAAUUGUCUUCACUGCCACCUCCAAAAGGCAGGUUGACCUUGCAGCCUCUGCAGUGCAUUUUUGCCUCCCAUCCAUGCCAUCCUUGGGGAUAAGAAGAUGCUCCCACAGCCCUACUCCAUGCUGCAUCGGUGCCACUGCCACUCCAGGAGCAGGAGAUGUCCCAGCACAUGGGAUGCAGUGAAUGAGUCAGAGCUGUUGACUUUGCCCAGCAGAAAUGUUCCCAAAUCAAAUGUCUUCUUCCCCUCCUCCCCAAAACUCAUGAGCACCAUGUGAAAAGAUCCUCUGGUUACAUGCAUCUUGGGUUGGCUUUAAUAUUUUAGGAUGCACAUAGUUUAUUAUUCCAGGCAGAUCCAUAAUCUCUAGGGAUAGAAAUGUAACUAGAAGGAAAAAUGCGUUUGUAUGUGUGGGUGGACAUGUAAUCUCAGGCUUAUGGCCUUAAGAGGAAACAGUAAAUAGCGUAUGAAACUCCAUAAAAUGGUAGCUGUUGGAAGUUUUGCUCCUCAGGGAUUAUGUACCUGCCUAAAGAAGUAAAACUGUUACUUAAUAGGCCAAAUAGUACCUUGGUAAAAAUGAAACUGCCAGGUAUUACAUAUGGGCAGAAUAUGGUCCACCUUGUGUUCAGUACAGUUAAAGUUUACUGCUAGAAAAUGUAUUAUGAUAAACUUUCAGCAGUGGAUACUGUUCAUUAUUUGCAGAAGUUAUAAAAACAGAAGCUUUUUGCAAAAACAACAUGGGGCAAAUGCUAUUUUUCUUCAAUUGCAUAAGCUAAGCCCCCUUACCCCUCCCAAAAGGUAGUAGAUAAAUCAGAGUUGAAUAUAGAUGCAGUUGAACUACUCUAUUUAAGAACCUGCUAUACCAAUAAAUCAAUAUUUACUUGCUAUAUAAUAUGUAAAUGGUAUAUUCAUGGAUGUUGAGUAAGUUUCCCUAACUAAGGAAACUGUGCAACACGCUUAAGAACUUAGUAGCAAUGAUUAAAGUACAACCCUAAUAGCAUCAGUUGAGUAGAAAUGGUUUAACAGAAUAGCACAGGCUUUAUGUAGGGUUUUCUUUAAGCUGAUAUUUUUAGUCUUCAGACUUCAGUUACUCCUGCUGAAUUAAGAGAGCCUUCCAGAAUGUCUGAUUUAUUUGAAAUCUGCAAGCCUGACAUUAGCUUUUCAGCUAGUCCUCUGCCCUAUUGCAAACCUUACCUGUUUCAUUCAUUCGGCAAAUAUAGAGGGAAGAUAAAGCAUACAGGAUUUGGUCACGCUUUCAUAAAUUCAUGAAACAUGGGAUUUCUUGCUGUGAGAAAAACAGCUAAAUGAUUGCUGCUUUAUCUAGUAAAACAAAUGUGUCUUUCCCAACAGAGAUGGUAAUUUUAACUGAACACUUAUAGAUUUUUGCCACUAAAUACCUGACUUUCCAAAGAGCUCAGAUCCAUCCUAUUUCAGCAUUGAAAUGAAGCUAUUGUAGCAGUUGGCUUCCAGCUACUCUUCUGAAGAACUAGAUGCCCAAUUUAGAACUUCUUCCUGCCUGUCCCCCUACCCCCUUUCCCCCCAGUGUCUAAAUUGGGAUCCUUAGGUGCUGGACUUGUUCAAAGUUUGAAGCUAUUUGAAAGAAUCAUGGUAAGUUGCACUUGGGGAAUUGCUAAAAAGCCUGGUGUUAAUUAAAGUGAAAUGGCAGCCUUUUAAUGCUGCCAUUUUAGAAAGCAAGUAUCCACAAUUAGUUCUCUAAAUGCUUAUUUAGACACUCUCUUUUAAAUUGCAUGCAUAAAGAUGCAGAUACAGCACUCAUCCCGUACCCAUUUUAUAUUAUCAUUGCAUAAAAGCUAACAUGACUAAUACCAGCUAUCACUAAGAAAUAAUCUAUUUCCACUAAAUUGCUGCAGAACCUCUGUAUGGAGGCGUGGACACUAGGAGAAGCCUCGGGAGCCUGUGCACUGAUUCUCUUGUACUGUUGAGCAAACGAUAAAGAAUUUGAAAAAACACUGAUGCACUAACUUCUGGUGUAAAGACUCUUCUCUUCAUGGAAGUGACAAGACCUUCCUGACCUGUAAAGUUAAACCUGGUGAUCAGAUCUGGGCUAUCAAAACGGACCAGAGAUGAGAGGUUGCAGCAGAAAUGGAGGGUCUGCAAAGACAAGCAAUGAGAAUUGUUAGUGUUGUGGAAAGGUAUUUUUGUAUGUGUAAUUGGAAUUCUUUAUGGAAGGGGAAGAGGUAAAAAUGAGGGGAUGUUAGGAUAGUACACAGGAGUUCUCACUGAUAUUUUUGAUGCUAUGUUUUUUACAGUCUUCCAUGAUACAUAAACAAGAGGGAAAUCAGUGAAACGAAAAUAAUGCAAGUAAAAAUGGGUGAGUGGGAAAUUGUUUCCAAACUGAAAACCAGCAGACUACAGAAGUGGCACAGGCAGGGAUAUAAAUCUUCUGGCAUUGGGACCUCUUGGCAUGAAUGGGGAGAUUUUAAGAGAUGGCAUGUUAUUGUGUAACUGCCUCACAAGGGAUUUUCCCCUGAAGGAGCCUGUUCUGGUUAGUGCUGAGGGUGAGAUGGCCGACUGCACGCACUACUGCUCUCAGCCAUGUUGGCAGCUUGUGUGUUUGUUCUGCGGCCUUGACUCUUGAUAGCUUUGCCCUUAGUGUUAUUUAUCUGUUCCUUCCAGGAUAAACAUAGUAAGGAGCACUGAGUUUCUUUUAGGAACCUCCCAAUGUACAACAGGGUUCUGUGAAGCCUGCUGUGUUCUGACAAAUUCCUCCCUGUGUGCAUUGUGUCUUGAAAUUACUGGGGCCAGGAGAGGUUAUUAACAGCAUUGAGGAUGAUGAAAAAUUUUUCUUCAUUUGGAGUCUGAUGCAAUCUGUGACUUAACCCGAGCAUCCUAGGCUGCACCCUGCAGUAGGUUGCAGACGGGGAGAGCCACAUUUGAAGACGGGCAGGCUUCCAAGGUCUGGUGUUGGCUGUGCUGCCCCAGCUGCUUUUCCUCUUUGAAAGGGACCUCUAAGACCUGGGCAGUUUGUCUGUUGUUGGUAGUGUUUGCUUUAAAAUAUGUGGAAAUACACUGAGAGAUCCAUCCUAUUUAAGUUAAUCAAGUAGGUACUCAGACUGACAUCUCUUCAACUUAGCCCUGUUCCUCUGCUUCUCUGAAAAGAGCUGAGCUCCAGCUCAGAACUGCAAAAAAUCUGAAGUAGAUGAAAGUGUAAGAGAAAGAAGAGGGGAAAAUAGAGAGAAAAUGGCUUUUUAUAAUCAUCUAAUAACUUGGUUGAUUCUGGGGGUAUGGCUAUGGUAUUUUGUGACAGAGAUGUGCUUAGCUUGGAGGAGGAGGCAAAUACAUCAGGAGAAAGCCCGCCAGAGCAUAUAUGUUUGAUAUGAUCUGCAUAAUAACAUAGAUCUAGUGUACACAAAGAUGAUUUCAGCUGUCCCUCAUACAGAAAGGCAGCUGGAUUUUGGGACUAGGCCACCCACUGCCAGAAGAAAAAUGCUUGAAUCUUCAAUACCUUUGAUUCACGGGCUUUAGGAGGUGAGAAUCGUACUGUCACAGCAUGUGCCUGGGAAGCAUGUUAAAUUUCCUAUGCCUCAUCCUCUCCCCCUCUCCCACAGCCUGCUUCUAAAAAGUCUCAGCAGAAGAAACUGUUUCUGAUACCUCUACAUAAAUUGCCUGUUUUCCAUUUUGACAGGAGUUUCACUGGAGGAAAAAAAAAGUUCUUUUUCCCCUUGUCUCUGCAGCACCAAUGAUUUCUUACUUGUCCUUUUCCUGAAAUAUCUAAGUUAAUUUUGUAGCUAUUGAAGACUGCUGUGUAAAUGCAGCUUUAUAACCUUUAACCACAACACAACACCCUCCUUUCUGCAAUCUCCACCUCCUGUACCUAUUCUUGAAAACUGCCUGGAGCAAUGUUUCUGCCUCAUAAAUCUGAGCCUUUAAGAUAGGUAGCAUUGUAUAGCUGUUAUAGCUGAAGUAGUCUAUCUGACUGAUUUUUCUGAUAAUGUCUUUUUAUAUGUUGCCAGUAAACAGCUUUAUUUAUAAGAGACUACAGCAAUAGUAAAAAUCCAAACAGUGACAAAACUAUUACUGGCCAUGUUGGAAUUGCUACUCAUUUGGAGUUUAUCUUGAACUUCCAGUUUAUCUUUCUGCCGAUUAUUAUUUCAGUAUUUUCUACAUACAGACCACAAAGAGGAUUUUGGUCUUCCUCCGUCUAAAGUCCCACACCAUCAAUUAGUAUGGGAAGAUGGGUUCCUUAGUGGUGUUUGAAUCCAAGCAAACCUAAAAUGAAAAAUGUUUUACUGAUGUUUACACGUAAAUUCUGUGCCUGCAUAGAAAUUGAGUCUGCACCUGUAUGGAAAACAACCAGUAGCUUUUCAUGUGUGAAACUUGUAAAUCUAUCAGUUACACAAGCCAAAUUGUGAGGGGGGUAUGUUUUAUUGGUGUCUACAUUUAUUGUACCUUAUCUGCAGAAAGUGAAUCAUCUGAUACAAAAACAGCACUUCAGAGACCAACAUAUGCAGCUGAGCCCAGAUUUGCAGUAGGGAGCUGAUAGUCUCAAAGAUGGGGAAGAGUUUCCUUAGAAUAUAGCUGGAGCAAUAAUAUUGCAGAUCCAUUAUUUUCUAGCAGGUGAUUAAGAUAAAUAUAUUCAUAUUUAGCUACUCAGAUGUUAGGCACCUAGAAAGAGUCCUGUUUUUUCUACAUGGUAGCUCUGAGAGCUGUAUGUUUUUUGACACAUCUAAAAAUCAGGCUGCUCACAUCGAUGCCUAUGUUUAUUUCCAGACUUAACAUGUAGUUGGCUGAAUCGUACGAUAGUGGUGGAUAGUGACCCCUUCCCUUUGCAGAAGGAAGCAAGGCUGGUGUCAUAGCAAUUGGAGCAGGCAGCUCUGUGCAGGCACAUGGACUGAUGCUGUCAGUCCCAUAUGGAAAAAUAUGCUGUCACAGCUUUUGAGAAAUCCUGAUCUGAUUGAAGAAAGAGAGUCUAUCUCUGUGUGUAGUAUAAAGUACCUCUUCAGAGUUUUGUUGGCACAGAGCAGCUUGCUUUUUAAAGGAGACACAUUAGUCAUAGCCAUAGAGAGCAGAAAUGGCCACUUCAGGUUAAUGAGUAUAUGACAGCAAUGAAGUCAUGCAUGUGUGUUGGGGGAAAAUCUACCAUAAAGGGAUGCAGUGGAUGUAAAUAAACAUCCCUCACUAAAUAAACUGCAUAACUGUAUGAACAGAGUAUUUCCUAGUGUCCAUUUUACUUAAGGUGGAAAAAAAAUGGUUUGCUGUGUUUGUUUUGUGUGUGUGAUUUUUUUAUUUGGUUAGCGUGUUGUUUUUUUGUUUGUUUGUUUUAACAGUACCUUUGGAAUAUUGAUAUCGCUGACAGUUUGUCCCUUUCAAACUUCACAUCAUGGUACCAGUAUUUCAAAAUGAUUUUUGUCCUUUUGCUAAUUGUCGUUCCAAAAAACUUGUCCAGAACUGUAACAUUUCCUUUCUUAAAAGGCAGAUGCUCUGUCUUGGGUCAUGAUGUGCACAGUGCUGAAGUUUUCAGUGCAUGUGUAUUAAUAGCUUUGUUUAUGAGUAAGCUCAGAUGUUUCAGCAAUUGAGUCUAAAGACAAGCAUAAUGUUCAAAACAAAAGGGGUGGUGUUUACCUUACAAAUAUUUGCAGCCCAUUUUGAAACAAGAACAGUGGCAAUCUUUGGGCCAUUUUGGAUGGGUGCCUCCUGCUCCACCAAGCUCGGCCUCCUGCCCCCCACACAACUGGGCUCAAACAAAACAACCUAACCCAAACAAAAGAACCUAACUUAAACAACCAACAUAAACCAAAAAGACCCUGCCUAAACCCAAGAAUCUAAAAAAAAACAAAACCCAAAACUCUGGAACCUGAUGUGCCUAAACCAACCUAUAACGAACAACCUAAAAACCCUAAACGCAACCAUAUAAGCCAAACGAAACCAAAAAACCUAAACAAGCCUAAACUAACCUAAAGCAACCCCUGAAACCUAAAAACCACUGGCUAAUCCACCAUACCUACAAACAACUCAACCAAACCACCUAAACCAAGAUGAAGAGAAACACUUAAACCAACCUCAAUGAUGCAAAGCAAACCUACUUAAACCAGCCUACCUAAAGACACAUCCAUACGCCAACCUUCCGAUAAAGAACCAGUCUAAAAUAACCAAUCUAAACCACCUAAAUAAGCUAAACAACCUAAAACUAAUUAUCUCAACCAAGCUAAACUGAACAACUUAAACCGAAUGACAUAAGCCAGCCUCAAACAAAACACUGAAAACAACCUCAAUGAAAACCACUUUAAACAUCCCACCUAAAACAACCAACCUUAAUUACCAACCUAGUACUCCAGACAGCAAACAUCCUCAACCAAAAACUACCUAAACUAGCCAGUCUUAACCAACCAGCCUUCAAGAACCAGCCUCUAACAACCUACCUCAGAAGAACAACCUCCAACAACUUCAACAACCUCAACCAAGAUCCCUAGACCAGAACACUAAAACCAAACUCCAGCAACCAACACUAAAGAACCUUCCUAAAACAACAGCAGCCUAACAGCCUUAUCAAAACAAGAAAUACCAAAACACCUAAACCAAGCAACAGAAAUUAACCUUAUAAUGACAACAAACAUCUGGCUGUAUGGCUGUUUGCAAAGAGUUGUCUUGAUUGGAGUCAAGUCUAGUUGGCAGCUGGUUACGAGUGGUGUUCCCCCGUGCCCAGUACUGGGGCCAGUUCUGUUUAAUUUCUUAAUCAAUGAUUUGGAUGAGGGGAUUUAGUGCGCUCUUAGUAUGUUUUCAGAUGACACCAGAUUGGGUGGGAGUGUCUAUUUUCUGGAGGUUAUGAUGGCUGUAAAGAAGGAUCUGGUUUGGCUGGAUGGUUUGUCUGAGGCCAAUUGUAUGAGGUUUAACAAGGCAAAUUACCAGGUUCCACACUUGGGUCACAGUCUUGGGGAAGAGUGGCUGGAAAGCUGCCUGACAGAAAGGGAUCUGGGGGGUGUUGUUUGACAGCCAGCUGAACAUGAGCCAACAUUGUGGCCAGGUGGCCAAAAAGGCCAAAGCAUCCUGGCUUGCAUCAGGAAUAGUGUGGCCAGCAGGACUAGAGUGGUGAUUGUGCCACUGUAUUCACCACUGGCAAAGCCUCUCAUAAGAAGGACAUUGAAGUAAUAGAGAGAGUGCAGAGGAGGGUGAUGAAGCUGGUGAGGGGUCUCGAGCACAAGUCUGAUGAGGAGUGGCCAAGGGAGCUGGGGCUGUUCAGCCUGGAGAAAAGGAGGCUGAGGGAAGACCUCAUCACUGUCUUCAACUACCUGAAAGGAGGUUGUAGCAUGGAGGGUGUUGGUCUCUUCUCCCAAGUAGCAAGUGAUAGGAUGAGAGGAAAUCGCUUCAAGUUGCACCAGAGGAGGUUUAGAUUGGAUAUUUUGAAAAAAUUCUUUAUGGAAAGGGUUAUCAGGCAUUGGAACAGGCUGCCCAGAGAAGUGGUGGAGUCACCAUCCCUGGAUGUGUUUAAAAGGUGUUUAGAUGAGGUUCUUAAGAACAUGGUUUAGUGCUAGAGUUAGGUUAUGUUAUGGUUGGACCUGAUGAUCCUGAGGGGCUCUUCCAACUGAAAUUAUUUUAUGAUUCUAUGAAUCUAAUGUGACUGCACAGAGCUGAAGUAGUUGCAGAUGAGGAUCUGGAAUUUCAGAGGUGAGAGCCUAUUUUGUAUAUUUGAACAACUACAUGAUACCAUUUGGAAAACAUUUUCCUGUGCUUGCCUCCAUGUCUUCUUGAAAUAUCCUUGCCUCGUUUAGGUGAGGUUCUCAUUUAGUAAGUUUUGUGGCACUGAUCUAUAGCUGCUCUGACUUCUGUACAGCCUGCAUUUGCCGCAGUGAGCAUGCACCUACACGUUGACCUUCAUCCCCAACUAAGCCAAACUAAAAUAAAAUCUCCAGACUUCCAGCCGAGCUGUGUGUUUUCACUUCAUUUAUCCUUACUCUGUGUUGUGCUUUACCUCCAUCAUUAACAGCUCCACGUCUGCUGCAUUUCACAAUGUUUGAACAGAGGUGGCAACCAAGCCUCUUACUUCCACAUUUACUAGAAGAUGACAGGAGAUUUCUGAUAAACUUGCGAUGUGCAAUGAGAAAGAAAUAUAGUUGAGGAGAAGAACAUCCUGGAAGACAUUCCUUUUCAUGGUCUAUCAGAGUGUGAGGAGCCAAGGCAGAGAACUCAGCAGAGUCAUAUGCAAAUCACUUUGUCACUUAGAGACUGAAUUACUUAAUGACAAAGUUCUUCCUGCCAUAUUCUGAUAAUUUUUUGCCUUCAUGUUGGCUCUAAUCAGUAACUUCACUUGGAAGUUGUUUACAUGAAGUAUUGUUCUUGUGUCACUUACCAGACAGCGAUACCUUGCUAGGUGAGCAAGAGAGAGUCGCCUCUUAUGCACUUUGUUCAGUGAUCUGGCUAAAUGCAUGUCUGUGAUACUUAGGCAUUGCUGGUACAAGGCUCAGGUGCAUUAGUUAGGCAUUCAUUACCUGGUCACAGGGUCAUCGAUGAUCAUAUACUAAUAAUACUAAGUGCAAAAAGGACAAAUAUGGUUGGAAGGUGUGUCAGGAGAAAGGUUGCCAGCUUGGAGAAAUUCCAUUUUCUGGAGUACCGUGUGAAGCAUUUCGUGAGUGUUCAUUAAAAAUGUAUUCAUGAUGGAAAAGAUGAGAAGAAGGGUUUGUAGGAACAGAGAACCUAUCUUAGGAGAGUGCAAAAGUGCUCUCCUUGUUUUGCUCAGCAAAAUGAUACCUGGGGAGGCGCAUGAGUGGGAGAAAGAUGAAUUGUUCAAAGAAAAUGCUGGCCUCACACCAUGAUGGACAGUCUGCAGCUGGACCAGUAGAACUAGCUGAACUGUCUGUAAGAAGAAGAUGGGCAAAUUCAUUCAAAUGUUUAAAUGAUGUGGUGCCUGCAAUGAUAUAAGUUUGGUCUCAGUAACCUGGGAGAUUCUCUCCAGACCAAUCUUCUGACUGUCCAUGAGGGAGUGGAGUGUUUACUGAUGUGGUGGUAUAAUCCAAUAAUUUUUUCUAACUAACAUCUAGAUGAAAAAGAGAGGUGUUGUGUAAGGUUUUUUUGGGGGGUGGUGUUUUUUCACUCUUUUUUUUUUUUUUUUCUUCCUUCUGUCUUUCAUAACUUUCCUGUUCACUGCUGUUGUUUACCCUCACUUCCUCAUUAUGGUCUGGAGUAGCCUUAACAUCUCGCUGGGCUAUUUUAUCUGACCAUUACAAAUUCUUAACAGUUAUUGUACUGUAUUAUAUGUUGUCUUAAAUUGUCAUUUGCUACCUGACUUGACAAUUCUGAUUAGUUGUGGGUUUUGUUUGUUUGUUUGUGUUUUUUUGUUUUUGUUUGGGUUUUUUUUCCCCUCUCAUCACUGCUUCGAUACUUUCUUGGGAUGUUUAAAACUAAAUCCUCCCAAAAUGCUACCCACCCUUUCCCCCCAAAUGUACAGAUCCUACAAAUUCAAAGAGGGUAAGCAUUGUUCACUUUUUCUUUUCAUUAUCUUUCUGUUCUUUUUUAAAAACCAAUUAUGUUAAAGAAAAAUAUAAGACAAAGUAAAAAAAUGUGGUCCCAUUUUAAUCUUAAUCUUAAUCAUGUCUGUUAGUGUCUUAUGACAAAAUGCAGUUUGCAGCAGCCUUCCUCCUGUUAGCCUUACAGCACUUGGACAACCAGAGGAGUGUUCCAGGGAAACUGGACACUGUCUUGGAGCUACUAAAUACAAAAUACACCAGCAUCCAGUUAAGAAAGUCCUCUGAGUGGGAGCCUGGGACAGCAUUACAGGGAGGUGUUGUACAUUGGAAUACUGAAGCUUUGUUCUGACUCUUGGGCAUCUGUGUUUGCAGCUGGACACGUGGCAUAGAUUUAGACAGGACUUGUCUGACCCAGUACGGUGGUUCUCCUGUCGGCUGGGGAGGUGACUGUCUCCACGUUGAGCUGUGUCACAGAACAAAUUCUGAAAGCAGCAGCUGAUCAGUAGAAAACUGGUCUCUUUUUCUUAAAAAGCAAAAAAAAAGUAAUCAGGAAGGACUUUACUAUUGGUGAUAAAAUAGGCACUUAGGGAAAACAGAAAACAAAUCCCACAAAAAACCACAAACAAAACAACAACAAAAAGACACCAAAAAAUAAUCUAAAAAACUUGCACAAAAUAACUUGCAGAAUGACACUAGAAAUUAUAUUUACAUUGUACUGCAAAACAUGUAUUCUUCAGUGUUAACUUACUGUACUUCUAGUAGUCCUUCUUUUCCACAUCUUCCUUUUCUGAACAUAACUUGUUCAUUUAUCGUCUACGGAGUUUUCUCAACUUGUCUCCUUUAUGUGGAAGUGAAAGGGGAUGAUAAAGUAUCUUAUGACAAUUCUCCUACUCUUGUAAUAUAUCAGAGUUCAGAGUUUGUUGGAAAUUCUCCACAAAUUUUUUUUUGGGGGGUGGGUUCUAGAGAAAAGAAUAAAAGAUGGCAAAAUAUAUUAGUUGAAUGGGCCUGGACAUCACGGACAUUCUAAGCUGAUUUUAUUGUGUUGUUCCUCAUAUAUUGGGUCGGCUUAGGGAAGCUGAGAACUGGCUUGGAAAGUACAGUGUUGUCUAAGGUAGAUUUCUUCUGAAGGUUAUCAGUACAUCAUUGCAGACAUAGAGUUUGGGUUGAAGGACACAAAUCUCUUUACCAGUUAGUGUGAAACUAAAGACUUAGUUUGACUAUCAGCUGAGUGCUGUCUCUGUCCAUAUUGACAAUGUCUUGAAUUAUUACUUUCUUGGGAGGCUUUUUUCUUAAUAUAUUUGCAAAUUCUAGAAUCUUUGCUCAAGGUUGGACACUGUCUAAUAUUUAGAUAACGGAGUGAACUAAAGCAACUCAUGUCACUGACUAAUCUAUAUGCUCUUUGUGCAGGAUUCUUUGUAACAAUUAGCUUAUACUCUCUAUUCUUGCUUUCUCCUUUAAUUUUAUGGUCUCUGAACCCUCUUUUUUUUUUUUUUCACUAUGUUGUCAUCAGGGUCACUACUACCAUGCAAUUCAGAAUUCUAUUUUAAAAAAUGAAUACUGAUGACCAGCUAAUACAUCAAAGAAUGCUGAUGAAAAUAUUUUUUCCAUAAUUGACAUCAACAAUUUUAUGUGUCUUCCUCUUUAAUACUAAACAUAUGGAAU